GACGAACUGUCCUACCGUUGUUCGGAAUCACUGGGCUUACAGGGUGCGUAGGCGGCUUGUUAAGUAGGGUGUGAAAGCCCCCGGCUCAACCGGGGAAUUGCGCCCUAAACUGGCGAGCUGGAGUGAGAUAGGGGUGUGUGGAACUUCCGGUGGAGCGGUGAAAUGUGUUGAUAUCGGAAGGAACGCCGGUGGCGAAAGCGACACACUGGAUCUUGUCUGACGCUGAGGCACGAAAGCCAGGGGAGCGAACGGG
rnacentral:rRNA from 1 species